rnacentral:rRNA from 1 species
CCUACGGGGGGCAGCAGUGAGGAAUAUUGGUCAAUGGGCGCGAGCCUGAACCAGCCAAGUCGCGUGAGGGAUGACGGCCCUACGGGUUGUAAACCUCUUUUAUAAGGGAAUAAAGUGAGGCACGUGUGCCUUUUUGUAUGUACCUUAUGAAUAAGGAUCGGCUAACUCCGUGCCAGCAGCCGCGGUAAUACGGAGGAUCCGAGCGUUAUCCGGAUUUAUUGGGUUUAAAGGGUGCGUAGGUGGGUUGUUAAGUCAGCGGUGAAAGUUUGCGGCUCAACCGUAGAAUUGCCAUUGAUACUGGAAGUCUUGAGUACAGGUGAGGUAGGCGGAAUGCGUGGUGUAGCGGUGAAAUGCUUAGAUAUCACGAAGAACUCCGAUUGCGAAGGCAGCUUACCA